rnacentral:rRNA from 1 species
UACGUAGAACGUUUUUUAAAGAACUUAUAAAAAAACCUGAUGAUAAUUCGUUUUUAUAUUUAUAAUCUUUAAAAAACUUGAGUGUAACUGGAGUAGAUGGAAUUUUUAAUCGAGGGGUGAUAUCCAUAAAAGUUAAAAGGAACACUAACGGCGAAGGCAUUCUACUAAGUUAAACUGACGUUCAGGUACGAAGGCAUAGGGAGCAAACA